rnacentral:sRNA from 1 species
GUAAUUGAAUCCAUUUUGCCUAAGACUCAGGUGAUGCUUGCAUCUUAAUAUCCUGCCGAGGAAGUUUAAAAACUUUUCCCGUGUGUCUUUUAGCGCACGGGAUUUCUUUUGCAAAAU